AUAAGUGCAUCAGGCGGAUGCCUUGGCGAUGAUAGGCGACGAAGGACGUGUAAGCCUGCGAAAAGCGCGGGGGAGCUGGCAAUAAAGCUAUGAUUCCGCGAUGUCCGAAUGGGGAAACCCACUGCAUUCUGUGCAGUAUCCUAAGUUGAAUACAUAGGCUUAGAGAAGCGAACCCGGAGAACUGAACCAUCUAAGUACCCGGAGGAAAAGAAAUCAACCGAGAUUCCGCAAGUAGUGGCGAGCGAACGCGGAGGAGCCUGUACGUAAUAACUGUCGAGAUAGAAGAACAAGCUGGGAAGCUUGACCAUAGCGGGUGACAGUCCCGUAUUCGAAAUCUCAACAGCGGUACUAAGCGUACGAAAAGUAGGGCGGGACACGUGAAAUCCUGUCUGAAUAUGGGGGGACCAUCCUCCAAGGCUAAAUACUCAUCAUCGACCGAUAGUGAACCAGUACCGUGAGGGAAAGGCGAAAAGAACCCCGGGAGGGGAGUGAAACAGAACCUGAAACCUGAUGCAUACAAACAGUGGGAGCGCCCUAGUGGUGUGACUGCGUACCUUUUGUAUAAUGGGUCAACGACUUACAUUCAGUAGCGAGCUUAACCGGAUAGGGGAGGCGUAGGGAAACCGAGUCUUAAUAGGGCGAUGAGUUGCUGGGUGUAGACCCGAAACCGAGUGAUCUAUCCAUGGCCAGGUUGAAGGUGCCGUAACAGGUACUGGAGGACCGAACCCACGCAUGUUGCAAAAUGCGGGGAUGAGCUGUGGGUAGGGGUGAAAGGCUAAACAAACUCGGAGAUAGCUGGUUCUCCCCGAAAACUAUUUAGGUAGUGCCUCGAGCAAGACACUGAUGGGGGUAAAGCACUGUUAUGGCUAGGGGGUUAUUGCAACUUACCAACCCAUGGCAAACUCAGAAUACCAUCAAGUGGUUCCUCGGGAGACAGACAGCGGGUGCUAACGUCCGUUGUCAAGAGGGAAACAACCCAGACCGCCGGCUAAGGUCCCAAAUGAUAGAUUAAGUGGUAAACGAAGUGGGAAGGCACAGACAGCCAGGAUGUUGGCUUAGAAGCAGCCAUCAUUUAAAGAAAGCGUAAUAGCUCACUGGUCGAGUCGUCCUGCGCGGAAGAUGUAACGGGGCUCAAAUCUAUAACCGAAGCUGCGGAUGCCGGUUUACCGGCAUGGUAGGGGAGCGUUCUGUAGGCUGAUGAAGGUGCAUUGUAAAGUGUGCUGGAGGUAUCAGAAGUGCGAAUGUUGACAUGAGUAGCGAUAAAGCGGGUGAAAAGCCCGCUCGCCGAAAGCCCAAGGUUUCCUACGCAACGUUCAUCGGCGUAGGGUGAGUCGGCCCCUAAGGCGAGGCAGAAAUGCGUAGUCGAUGGGAAACAGGUUAAUAUUCCUGUACUUGAUUCAAAUGCGAUGUGGGGACGGAGAAGGUUAGGUUGGCAAGCUGUUGGAAUAGCUUGUUUAAGCCGGUAGGUGGAAGACUUAGGCAAAUCCGGGUUUUCUUAACACCGAGAAGUGAUGACGAGUGUCUACGGACACGAAGCAACCGAUACCACGCUUCCAGGAAAAGCCACUAAGCUUCAGUUUGAAUCGAACCGUACCGCAAACCGACACAGGUGGGCAGGAUGAGAAUUCUAAGGCGCUUGAGAGAACUCGGGAGAAGGAACUCGGCAAAUUGAUACCGUAACUUCGGGAGAAGGUAUGCCCUCUAAGGUUAAGGACUUGCUCCGUAAGCCCCGGAGGGUCGCAGAGAAUAGGUGGCUGCGACUGUUUAUUAAAAACACAGCACUCUGCCAACACGAAAGUGGACGUAUAGGGUGUGACGCCUGCCCGGUGCCGGAAGGUUAAUUGAAGAUGUGCAAGCAUCGGAUCGAAGCCCCGGUAAACGGCGGCCGUAACUAUAACGGUCCUAAGGUAGCGAAAUUCCUUGUCGGGUAAGUUCCGACCCGCACGAAUGGCGUAACGAUGGCCACACUGUCUCCUCCCGAGACUCAGCGAAGUUGAAGUGGUUGUGAAGAUGCAAUCUACCCGCUGCUAGACGGAAAGACCCCGUGAACCUUUACUGUAGCUUUGCAUUGGACUUUGAAGUCACUUGUGUAGGAUAGGUGGGAGGCUUGGAAGCAGAGACGCCAGUCUCUGUGGAGUCGUCCUUGAAAUACCACCCUGGUGUCUUUGAGGUUCUAACCCAGACCCGUCAUCCGGGUCGGGGACCGUGCAUGGUAGGCAGUUUGACUGGGGCGGUCUCCUCCCAAAGCGUAACGGAGGAGUUCGAAGGUUACCUAGGUCCGGUCGGAAAUCGGACUGAUAGUGCAAUGGCAAAAGGUAGCUUAACUGCGAGACCGACAAGUCGGGCAGGUGCGAAAGCAGGACAUAGUGAUCCGGUGGUUCUGUAUGGAAGGGCCAUCGCUCAACGGAUAAAAGGUACUCCGGGGAUAACAGGCUGAUUCCGCCCAAGAGUUCAUAUCGACGGCGGAGUUUGGCACCUCGAUGUCGGCUCAUCACAUCCUGGGGCUGUAGUCGGUCCCAAGGGUAUGGCUGUUCGCCAUUUAAAGUGGUACGUGAGCUGGGUUUAAAACGUCGUGAGACAGUUUGGUCCCUAUCUGCAGUGGGCGUUGGAAGUUUGACGGGGGCUGCUCCUAGUACGAGAGGACCGGAGUGGACGAACCUCUGGUGUACCGGUUGUAACGCCAGUUGCAUAGCCGGGUAGCUAAGUUCGGAAGAGAUAAGCGCUGAAAGCAUCUAAGCGCGAAACUCGCCUAAAGAUGAGACUUCCCUUGCGGUUUAACCGCACUAAAGGGUCGUUCGAGACCAGGACGUUGAUAGGUGGGGUGUGGAAGCGCGGUAACGCGUGAAGCUAACCCAUACUAAUUGCCCGUGAGGCUUGACU
rnacentral:rRNA from 1 species